UACAGAGGUGGCAAGCGUUGUUCGGAAUUACUGGGCGUAAAGGGCGCGUAGGCGGUUCGUUAAGUCCUGUGUGAAAUCCCCCGGCUCAACUGGGGAACUGCACAGGAAACUAGCGGGCUUGAAUUCGGGAGAGGGAUGCAGAAUUCCAGGUGUAGCGGUGAAAUGCGUAGAUAUCUGGAGGAAUACCGGUGGCGAAGGCGGCAUCCUGGACCGACAUUGACGCUGAACGGCGAAAGCUAGGGGAGCAAACGGG
rnacentral:rRNA from 1 species